UUGUGUUAGCCUACAUCUCACUCCUUUUUAACCAACGUUAAUCUGAUAUUUUAAGUGUUGUAUGUAAUUACACACCCGGUAACCACCCCCCUUCCGCUGGUGCUCACCUUUUGGCUGAGCACCAUCUUUUUUUUUCUCCUCUUUCAACAGCAAAUGAGUGUUAUGUACACUCAGCUGGGGGCCCCUCAUGCCUUUUAAUUUGUGUGCAUGCUUGUGGUGUGUUGAGGGGGGCCUCCUCUAUGGAGACCUCCAGUGUGCGUUUGGAACAAAGUAAUAAUGACGUGGUAGCUUUGGACCUCUCCUCUGUGGUGAGCUCAUCAUACAAUGCAGACCAUGUGGAGCUGGAAGGUCUUUAAAGAAGGAGGAAGGGGCGGGGGCGCCUCCUUCCAAGCCUUCUUCAUGUCUUUUCUGUGAUUGAGGACGCGGUGGGCUGGCUGAUAAAAGGUAAAGCACACAUUUGGGACAGCCUACAUCCAGCUGACCUCCGUAAGAACCCCAUCCUACUCCCGCCUGGGCGCCCCAUGCUCCAUAGAACAGGAAAUUGGAACUUACUGUGACACAGGAAAGCUGUGUUAAGACCGCCGGGUUUAGUCAACCCAUGUGAAGAUACUCAGGCCAAGUAAAAGAAACUGUCGCUGCUGCAACCUGCAAGGUCACACAGCUCUGCUCUGCAUCCUGCAUCCUAUUGGCCGCCUCGUUAGACGCCCCCUUAAAUAACUUUCUUCAUGCUUGACGACAAUGAUUGGCUACAAUGGCCUCACUGGUCAGUCAGGGGUGUCCAGUGUGCGGCCCCGGAGGCUAUUUGCGGCAAAAAUGUGCACGUGACCAGCGUGUGGAAAAACCAUUCCGACCUCGUCCUCGUGUCCUUGGCCCACCCUGACGACAGGAAGACAAUUGUGUCCAUUUGGUGUUUCGUCCACAGCAAGUCCUCCAAGCGUGCCUUUAUGGAGCCCUGGGAACAGGAAGGGGUAUUCCCUCAAGUGUGUCCAUAAAAUCAGAAGUAUAGUAAAAGUCUUGGGGACAACUAAGGACUGCAGUAAGGACAACCAGCAGCGUCCCAAUACUUGUGUCCAUAUAGCGUAGCUGAGCAUAUGUAUUUUGGUCUGCUGGGCUCACCUUUCACUGUGGCCUCAGGCAGUAAAUCUUCGCUCUGCUCACAUCUGUUUUGUGGAUGACAGCCUUGCCCGAUCAGCUGGGGCGGGCGGCCGUGCGAUGGAGGACGCGGUGCGUGUUUGCAGUGAUUAAGAGUGGAGGGCAGACAUCUGGAUGCGUUUAGGAGCGGGGGUACUUGGAGCUUGCGUAUUUGGUUUGGUUGCCGCACAGAUUGGAAGCGGAGAGGCGGCCUGGCCAGGCGGCCUCGCUGUGCAUGGAAAAACAAAUCCUAAUGAAGUCUUGGCCCGG